rnacentral:lncRNA from 1 species
GCUGCCGCUGCCUCAGCCGAGGGGGCUGGGCCGGAGCGUGCGGAGGAGUGAGGCCGCAGGAGACCUUCCCGACGACCCCUGCUCCGGCGGGGAAGUGAGCAAGGAUGAUUGAGGAAAGUGGGAACAAGCGGAAGACCAUGGCAGAGAAGAGGCAGCUGUUCAUAGAAAUGCUUCAUCUUGUUGAUAUCUGGAACAUGAUUGAAGCCUUCCGAGACAAUGGCCUUAAUACACUGGACCAUACCACCGAGAUCAGUGUGUCCCGCCUCGAAACUGUCAUCUCCUCCAUCUACUAUCAGUUGAACAAGCGCCUUCCUUCUACUCACCAAAUUAGUGUGGAACAAUCUAUCAGCCUCCUCCUCAACUUUAUGAUUGC